rnacentral:rRNA from 1 species
UCUGUAGGUGGUUUAAUAAGUCAACUGUUAAAUCUUGAGGCUCAACCUCAAAAUCGCAGUCGAAACUAUUAGACUAGAGUAUAGUAGGGGUAAAGGGAAUUUCCAGUGGAGCGGUGAAAUGCGUAGAUAUUGGAAGGAACACCGAUGGCGGAGGCACUUUACUGGGCUAUUACUAACACUCAGAGACGAAAGCUAGGGUAGCAAAUG